AUUGAACGCUGGCGGCAGGCCUAACACAUGCAAGUCGAGCGGAUGAAGGGAGCUUGCUCCUGGAUUCAGCGGCGGACGGGUGAGUAAUGCCCAGGAAUCUGCCUGGUAGUGGGGGAUAACGUCCGGAAACGGGCGCUAAUACCGCAUACGUCCUGAGGGAGAAAGUGGGGGAUCUUCGGACCUCACACUAUCAGAUGAGCCUAGGUCGGAUUAGCUAGUUGGUGGGGUAAAGGCCUACCAAGGCGACGAUCCGUAACUGGUCUGAGAGGAUGAUCAGUCACACUGGAACUGAGACACGGUCCAGACUCCUACGGGAGGCAGCAGUGGGGAAUAUUGGACAAUGGGCGAAAGCCUGAUCCAGCCAUGCCGCGUGUGUGAAGAAGGUCUUCGGAUUGUAAAGCACUUUAAGUUGGGAGGAAGGGCAGUAAGUUAAUACCUUGCUGUUUUGACGUUACCAACAGAAUAAGCACCGGCUAACUUCGUG
rnacentral:rRNA from 1 species